rnacentral:rRNA from 1 species
UACAGAGGUCCCAAGCGUUGUUCGGAUUCAUUGGGCGUAAAGAGCGCGUAGGCGGUCCGAUAAGUCGGCUGUGAAAGUCAGGGGCUCAACCCUUGGAAGCCGGCCGAUACUGUCGGACUAGAGUCCGGAAGAGGCGAGUGGAAUUCCCGGUGUAGCGGUGAAAUGCGCAGAUAUCGGGAGGAACACCAAUGGCGAAGGCAGCUCGCUGGGACGGUACUGACGCUGAGGCGCGAAAGCGUGGGGAGCAAACAGG